rnacentral:tRNA from 1 species
GGUUGUGUCUCAGUGGUAGAGAGCUUGCCUGGCAUGUGUAAUGCCCUGGGUUUGAUCCCCAGCACCA